CCUACGGGAGGCAGCAGUGGGGAAUAUUGGACAAUGGGCGAAAGCCUGAUCCAGCAAUGCCGCGUGAGUGAUGAAGGCCUUAGGGUCGUAAAGCUCUUUUACCCGGGAUGAUAAUGACAGUACCGGGAGAAUAAGCUCCGGCUAACUCCGUGCCAGCAGCCGCGGUAAUACGGAGGGAGCUAGCGUUGUUCGGAAUUACUGGGCGUAAAGCGUACGUAGGCGGUUAUUCAAGUCAGAGGUGAAAGCCCGGGGCUCAACCCCGGAACUGCCUUUGAAACUAGAUAGCUAGAAUCUUGGAGAGGUCAGUGGAAUUCCGAGUGUAGAGGUGAAAUUCGUAGAUAUUCGGAAGAACACCAGUGGCGAAGGCGACUGACUGGACAAGCAUUGACGCUGAGGUACGAAAGCGUGGGGAGCAAACAGGAUUAGAUACCCUGGUAGUCCACGCCGUAAACGAUGAUAACUAGCUGUCCGGGUACUUGGUAUCUGGGUGGCGCAGCUAACGCAUUAAGUUAUCCGCCUGGGGAGUACGGUCGCAAGAUUAAAACUCAAAGGAAUUGACGG
rnacentral:rRNA from 1 species